GACGAACGCUAGCGGCGUGCUUAACACAUGCAAGUCGAACGGUGAUGCUCCAGCUUGCUGGAGUGGUUCAGUGGCGAACGGGUGAGUAACACGAGAGCAACCUGACCCAGCCUUUGGGAUAAGCUCUGGCAGAGGCGUCUGUUCCUGGAUACGAUAAUAUCAUGCAUGGGCUCGGUUAUGGAUGUUAUUUGGUUUGGGAUGGGCUCGCCGCCCAUCAUCUUGUUGGGGAGGUAGUGGAUCGCCAAGGCGACGCCGCGUAGCAGGCCUGAGAGGGCGACCGGCCACACUGGGACUGAGACACGGCCCAGACUCCUACGGGAGGCAGCAGUGUGGAAUAUUGCACAAUGGGCGAAAGCCUGAUGCAGCAACGCCGCGUGAUGGAUGACGGCCUUCGGGUUGUAAACCCCUUUCAGCAGGGAAGAAGCGAAAGUGACGGUACCGGCAGAAGAAGCACCGGCUAACUACGUG
rnacentral:rRNA from 1 species